GAUGAACGCUAGCGGCAGGCUUAACACAUGCAAGUCGAGGGGCAGCGCGAUGUAGCAAUACAUUGGCGGCGACCGGCGCACGGGUGCGUAACACGUAUGGAAUCUGCCCUGUACUGGAAGAUAACCCGGCGAAAGUCGGACUAAUAUCCCAUAAUAGCCGAGGUGGCAUCACCUUGGUUUGAAAGCUCCGGCGGUACAGGAUGACCAUGCGCACGAUUAGCUAGUUGGUGAGGUAACGGCUCACCAAGGCUACGAUCGUUAGGGGCCUGAGAGGGUUAUCCCCACACUGGUACUGAGACACGGACCAGACUCCUACGGGAGGCAGCAGUGAGGAAUAUUGCGCAAUGGAGGCAACUCUGACGCAGCCAUGCCGCGUGCAGGAAGAAGGCGCUACGCGUUGUAAACUGCUUUUAUUCCGGGAAGGAAACCCCACGGACGUGUCCUGGGUUGACGGUACCGGAGGAAUAAGCACCGGCUAACUUCGUGCCAG
rnacentral:rRNA from 1 species